ACAUACCUAUGCUAUGAUAAUUUGUCAUGCUUUAUGCUUGGUUAUGCUUAUUGUUCAAUUAUUAAUGAAGUAGGCUUGAUUAUGUUUAUUUGUUGUGCUUGUACAUUUUUUGAAACUUUAGACAUGUCAAGCGACUGAAGAAGGUAUAUUGGAAACAUGUGGAGCUGCAUUGGAUAUGGACAAAGUUUUCCAUCGGGGGUUGAGUCACAACAUGGUUGUAUGAUUGGAACACAACAAAGUGUUAUCACUCGGAUGUACUGUAGGAGAGAUGGUAACUUCUGGCAAUUGAAGAGUUGGGUCUAUUUAAAAUUAUGCAACUUCUGCUUGUGAUUUUUGGGAGCUUUGUCAGUUGCUGCUUUGCUGGGUGUAGCUUAGGCUUGGUUGCAACCAUGUUUUGUUGGAGGCUGCUUGUUACACAAAUAUUUUUAUUCGUCUGUCUUGAUGUCCAUCGGAUUAAAACUAAUGGAUAACAUUUCACUCUUUCUAUGA